CUCCCGUUGAUCCUGCCGGACCCGACUGCUAUCAGAAUGAGAUUAAGCCAUGCGAGUCAACGUAGCAAUACGUGGCACACGGCUCAGUAACACGUAGUCAACAUAACCAGAGGACGUGGAUAAACUCGGGAAACUGAGGCUAAACCGCGAUAGACCAAGAUACCUGGAAUGGUUUUUGAUCAAAAUCUAUAUGGCCUUUGGAUUGGACUGCGACCGAUCAGGCUGUUGGUGAGGUAAUGGCCCACCAAACCAGUAACCGGUACGGGCUCUGAGAGGAGGAGCCCGGAGAUGGGUACUGAGACAAGGACCCAGGCCCUAUGGGGCGCAGCAGGCGCGAAACCUCUGCAAUAGGCGAAAGCCUGACAGGGUUAUUCUGAGUGACUUUCGCUAAGAAAGUCUUUUGACAUCUCUAAAAAUGGUGUAGAAUAAGGGGUGGGCAAGUCUGGUGCCAGCAGCCGCGGUAAU
rnacentral:rRNA from 1 species